rnacentral:lncRNA from 1 species
CCAGUAGAUUCCAAGUCGAAGAAGCCAUCCUGGAGGUGCAUGAAGAGACACCCUCAUUUGGAAACAGGCUUCUGCACAACUGACUUGUUGCACAGACUCUUACGACACACGUACUACGUGCAGAUGCUGGGGAAGCGAAGGCACAGGACAGAAAGCAUCUAGAGGUUUCCUGACGGCUGCAACUCCUGCAAAUGAAGGCUAAUGGAGUUAACAAAGAACAACUGUGAGUCAGAUACCAACAGGACGAGGAGAAACGGCAGGAUUGGAAGGGGAGAGCCCGGUGAUGGUUCUGGAAACCAGCAUUGCUUCAGGGCUGGUGCAACUAGAACUGCCUCCUCGAAGAGGAAGCAGAGGGAGGAGAGGCUAGGGAACUGCUUGGGGUACUGCAGAACCCACCUCUCCAGGCUUCCUGCCCAGUUCCCUCUCCUCUGCAUACAGUGGAGUUGGUCUGGUCCCAGGAAGCCCUUUGGAGCCACUGAGAGUUUAGAGUGAGGGCAGGGCAAGGCAUGGGCUGCUUCUGAAAGCUUAUCCCACAACUUCCACUGGCGGUAGUCAUCCCAGCAAAGCACUGGCUCACAGUCCUCUCAGCCAAAGUCCAUGUGUAGAGUUUCCAGUUCCCAGAAGUUUCCAAAGCAGAGGAUGUAAUUACAAUGUUUUAAAGCAAAUAAACACACACCCGAGUGGGAGGACUGCAUAUUUAUUUGACUAAUUAGAGGGAAAUCACUAAAAGGAUGUACAAUAACAUCGGCUUCUUUGGG